CUUCUGUUCACUUAAUUGAAGCGUGGUUAGGCUUUAUACCUUCUCCCGGUCUAAACAGUUCUUUAUAAAGUCCUUUCACGUAGAAACAAAGAAGGCAUUAGUUUACUGCCUGUAAAGAGAGCAGAUCAAGGCUGAGGAACAGACAGAAGUCAGCAGACGUCCUGGAAAUGUCACCAAUCUUUUCUGAGAAAAACAAAGGAACCACUUCUUGGUUACCAGAGAAAUAAAAAAAGAAUUGGAAAGCCAAUGUCCAAUUAUUUACUAAAACAGAAUCCACUGGAGAGAAAUGCAAAGGCAGGUAAAAAGGCAAUCUCUUAACAUGAAAACUCACAACUGUAAAAUGAGAACCUAAACUAUACAGCGACAAACUCAGGAAAAAGUCUCCAGCUACUGCUGUCUCUCAGACUCUCACAGUAUGUGUAACCACUUCCUCCUCUGCACGGAAUCACCCCAGAAGAUCAACUCUACUAGAUCAUUUGAGGACAAUGAACAAAGUCUCAAGACUGAAUUCCCACAGAAAACAUUCUCAUGAAACCACCCAAUAUUCUGGUGAAGUUAAAGAAGGGCAUGUGUUCGGAGACAACCAGAAGCAGCAAUGCUCAAAACCACAAAACUCUGGAUUGCCGACUCUGCACAUCCUGGUUCCUCUAGAUACAGUUCAGUGGCACAUUCACAAAUAAACGUUUUCAAAAACUGCCCUCAGGCAGUUCUAGAGAAAUGCUUUGACUUGCCUAAUGGUAUAAUGUCAAGAAAGGAAGACGAGCACUGAUCAUUCAUACUCAUUAUUACAGUCACAGGGCACUGUCUGACUUGACAGAUACAGCCGAGCAGUUAAAAGGUUAUGGGAAUUUAAGUCCAUUAUGGUCAUACGAUUCUUAUGGACCCAGAGAUAUGAAAUUAAUCAGCCACAUGUGUAGGGACAAAGUUUGUCAUAAAUAGAUAUAAGUUAUCUGCAUGCUAAGAACUUAGUUACUUAACUCUGUUUCCUCAUGUUAAUAUAAACAUAAUUAUAGAAUGCAAAUGAAAUACUUAGCCUGGAGCCUAUUAUAUAGGAAGCACUCAAUAAUUUCAAACUAUUGAGUAUAUUAUUAGAUAGGCUCCAUAAUUAUUUAUUCCUUUUUCAACAGACAGUAUGAUCUAUUGAAAAUAAAGCCAAACUAGAUUUCUUUGACCCACUCCUUUUUCUGUUUGUAUUGUUGGCAAGUUGUUCUAAAUCAACUUGCCAACAUACUAUUAACAUGUUAUUAACAUAGAAGGGAUGCUUAUUUUGUUUGCUUUGUAAGAAAUGCUUCUGAUUCAGUAACUGGGCAAUUUAUUUAAAUAUAAGUAAAAAGCAGAUUUUAUUAAAAACUACUUUGUGCUAUCAUAAAUAA
rnacentral:lncRNA from 1 species